AUGUCUCUUGAUUGGGAAGAUUUAUUUCCCCUCGCUUCGGUGAGUAAGCUGGUGAAAGAACUAUCGGACCACAAUCCCCUUUUAUUGGAUGGUGGGGUCGCCUCAUCUAGAGCACCAGGGAAUAGGUGCUUUAAGUUUGAUAAUGCCUGGCUUGGUAAUCCUGAAUUUCUCCCCUUGGUGGCUGAUAUUUGGUCAAGACCGGUAUAUUGUGUCGACCCCAUUGAUAUUCUUAAUAUCAAGUUGAAGAGGUGCAAGAAGUUUUUCAAAGGUUGGGGGUCCAAUGUGUUUGGGCAUAAUAAGAUUAGGAAAAAACUUAUCAAGCUGGAGUUGCAGGAGUUGGAAAAGAUUGAGGAGACCAUUGGUCUAUGCGGGGAUGCUUAUACUAGGAAGCUCGAGAUCCUAGUAGAGCUCAAUAACAUGUAUGCAGAAGAAGAGCUUCAUUGGCAUCAGUUUUCUAACAAAAGGUGGCUGCUGAAAGGAGAUAAUAACACCGAUUUCUUUCAUAAAGUUGCGAAUGGGCGUCGCAGGAAAAAUUCCAUGAAAUCCCUUGAAUACGGGUCUGUGGUUGUAGAAGGGACCAAAAACUUGCUCUCUCAUGCCACAGAGUAUUAUAGAACCCUUUUCGGGACGGCUCUAGGUAACCUCUGUCAUAUCGAUGUAGAAUUAUGGUCUCACGAGGAGAGAAUUACUCAUGCUGACAAUGAAGACUUAACUCGGCCUUUUUCUCUUGAGGAGAUAAAAAAUGCUCUUUUUGAGAUGAAAUCCAACCGUGCUCCUGGGCCGGAUGACAUCCCUGUUGAGUUUUAUCAACAUUGCUGG
rnacentral:rRNA from 1 species